rnacentral:rRNA from 1 species
CACGCCGUAAACGAUGAGUACUAGGUGUAGGGGGUAUCGACCCCCCCUGUGCCGCAGUAAACACAAUAAGUACUCCGCCUGGGAAGUACGAUCGCAAGAUUAAAACUCAAAGGAAUUGACGGGGGCCCGCACAAGCGGCGGAGCAUGCGGAUUAAUUCGAUGCAACGCGAAGAACCUUACCAAGGCUUGACAUAUAGAGGAAACGGCCAGAGAUGGUCGCCCCGCAAGGUCUCUAUACAGGUGG